GACGUCGAAGUGUUAUGGGUGAGGCCAACUGAGACCAGAUCCAGUGCAUCCUUAGUGUUCCAGAGCAAAACCUCUGUUAAUGUUUGAGAAAUAUCACUGUGGAGAAGAUCGUGUGAGACUCGGAUUGGUGUGUUUUUGUGGUGUGCUUCCAACAUGUGUGCAGGUCGAGAUGCUACCUCUCCCUCCUCAAAUUUUCAUUUCAGCUUUAUUUGCUAUAGGGUAUCUGAUAUUUUGCUCAGCUUGGCUUCUCGGUUAUUCUCAUGUGUUCAAUUUUUGUAGCUUUAUUUUCUUUUGCAGGAGACCAGGUUUGAGAGGUUUGUCGGGAGAGAGGAUUUCUUCAUUGGACUAGGAAAGAUGAUUUCGAUGCACACUGCCUAUUUGGUGAAAUACAGUGGUUUAGCACGACAACUUUGGAAAUGGCGGCGGGGUUCUUCUGUGACUGCCUCUGGACGGCAGACUGGGUCG